UGUUCGAGCGUCAUUACAACCCUCAAGCGUAGCUGGUAUUGGGCUCCGCUGCUAAUCUAGCGGGCCAUAAAAUUAGUGGCGGUGCCACGAGGACCUGAGCGUAGUAAACAUCCUCGCUAUAGGCGUCUCGCGAAACCUGCCAGCAACCCCCAACCUCUAAGUUUGACCUCGGAUCAGGUAGGGAUACCCGCUGAACUUAA
rnacentral:misc_RNA from 1 species